rnacentral:rRNA from 1 species
GGAGUCUGGUCCGUGUCUCAGUACCAGUGUGGGGGACCUUCCUCUCAGAACCCCUACGCAUCGUCGCCUUGGUGGGCCGUUACCCCGCCAACAAGCUAAUGCGCCGCAUGCCCAUCCCGGACCGACGGAUCUUUCACCCUAAGGACAUGCGUCCUCAGGGCAUAUGGGGUAUUAGACCCAGUUUCCCGGGUUUAUCCCCCUGUCCGGGGCAGGUCGCAUACGUGUUACUCACCAGUGCGCCGGUCGCCAUCAUCAGUGGCAAGCCACUGACAUGCUGCCCCUCGACUUGCAUGUGUUAAGCCUGUAGCUAGCGUUCAUC